CCAGCCUCCCUGGGGUACAGUGGAGCUGCUGGGCCCCGGCCCAUCACCCAGAGUGAGCUGGCCACCGCCUUGGCCCUGGCCAGCACUCCGGAGAGCAGCUCUCACACACCGACUCCUGGCACCCAGUCAGGGACGCCCAUCACCAAUGAUCUCUUCAGCCAAGCCCUACAGCAUGCCCUUCAGGCCUCUGGGCAGCCCAGCCUUCAGAGCCAGUGGCAGCCCCAGCUGCAGCAGCUACGUGACAUGGGCAUCCAGGACGAUGAGCUGAGCCUGCGGGCCCUGCAGGCCACCGGUGGGGACAUCCAAGCAGCCCUGGAGCUCAUCUUUGCUGGAGGAGCCCCAUGAACUCCCUGCUUCCCCUGAACCCCCAGCAAGUUGCAGAGGCUACUGCCCUUGGGAGGCACUCAUGAAGGUGCCUCCAUCUCUCCCUUCCCCAAUAUACCUGAUGGUCAACUCUC
rnacentral:lncRNA from 1 species